ACAAUCUGUAAGUCAUGCUAUGCCAUUGAUACUAUCAUCAUCAUUUAGCACAUCAACGAUCCAACUCAAAUUGAGCAUAUAUCAAAUUCCAAUUGCCAUUUGCCACAUACAUCGACCGCAUAAUGAGCCG